AUUGAACGCUGGCGGCAGGCCUAACACAUGCAAGUCGAGCGGUAGCACAGAGAGCUUGCUCUCGGGUGACGAGCGGCGGACGGGUGAGUAAUGUCUGGGAAACUGCCUGAUGGAGGGGGAUAACUACUGGAAACGGUAGCUAAUACCGCAUAAUGUCGCAAGACCAAAGUGGGGGACCUUCGGGCCUCAUGCCAUCAGAUGUGCCCAGAUGGGAUUAGCUAGUAGGUGGGGUAACGGCUCACCUAGGCGACGAUCCCUAGCUGGUCUGAGAGGAUGACCAGCCACACUGGAACUGAGACACGGUCCAGACUCCUACGGGAGGCAGCAGUGGGGAAUAUUGCACAAUGGGCGCAAGCCUGAUGCAGCCAUGCCGCGUGUGUGAAGAAGGCCUUCGGGUUGUAAAGCACUUUCAGCGGGGAGGAAGGCGUUAAGGUUAAUAACCUUGGCGAUUGACGUUACCUGCAGAAGAAGCACCGGCUAACUCCGUGCCAGCAGCCGCAGUAA
rnacentral:rRNA from 1 species